AUCCCUUUUCCAGGAAAAGAUUCUUUUGAAGAUGGGCUGACUAAACUGGUAUCUGACACUCGAAAUGUGGUGUAGCUGGGUGGUGUGUCAAAACAAACUGGAGUUUAAUUGGCAUUACCCAGUUGGCUCAGCAAGUAAUUGUGAUCUCUGCAUAAUCCAGUCACAUAC